rnacentral:rRNA from 1 species
AGCAGCCGCGGUAAUUCCAGCUCCAAUAGCGUAUAUUAAAGUUGUUGCAGUUAAAAAGCUCGUAGUUGAAUUUCGGGAUCAGUACGCUGGUCAUGCCUUUGGUAUGCACUGGUGUCACUGGUUUCUCCCUUCUGAAGAACCGUGAUGUCAUUAAUUUGGUGUCGCGGGGAAUCAGGACUGUUACUUUGAAAAAAUUAGAGUGUUUAAAGCAGGCUCACGCUUGAAUACAUUAGCAUGGAAUAAUGAAAUAGGACGUUUGACCCUAUUUUGUUGGUUUCUAGGAUCGACGUAAUGAUUAAUAGGGAUAGUUGGGGGCAUUAGUAUUCAAUUGUCAGAGGUGAAAUUCUUGGAUUUAUUGAAGACUAACUACUGCGAAAGCAUUUGCCAAGGAUGUUUUCAUUAAUCAAGAACGAAAGUUAGGGGAUCGAAGACGAUCAGAUACUGUCGUAGUCUUAACCAUAAACUAUGCCGACUAGGGAUCGGAUGAUGUUAAUUUUAUAAUGACUCAUUC